rnacentral:rRNA from 1 species
UGGGGAAUAUUGCACAAUGGGGGAAACCCUGACGCAGCGACGCCGCGUGAAGGAAGAAGUAUCUCGGUAUGUAAACUUCUAUCAGCAGGGAAGAAAAUGACGGUACCUGACUAAGAAGCCCCGGCUAACUACGUGCCAGCAGCCGCGGUAAUACGUAGGGGGCAAGCGUUAUCCGGAUUUACUGGGUGUAAAGGGAGCGUAGACGGAGCAGCAAGUCUGAUGUGAAAGGCAGGGGCUCAACCCCUGACUGCAUUGGAAACUGUUGAUCUUGAGUACCGGAGGGGUAAGCGGAAUUCCUAGUGUAGCGGUGAAAUGCGUAGAUAUUGCGCAGAACUCCGAUUGCGAAGGCAGCGUACUGGCGCCUGACUGACGCUGAGGCACGAAAGCGUGGGGAUCGAACAGGAUUAGAUACCC